AAGUCGUAACAAGGUUUUGAUGAAACGGGAUCCUUCUCGGAAGCCUUCGACACAACGACUAUAACCAUGUGUGCAGUCUGGAAAAUGGUUCUCUCCAGGCGACGUCGCCCCUCUGCUGGAACCCUGUAAUCUACAUUAUCGCGGACCCAGCAGCCAGUGUUCUGGUUCACAGAUUAAGUGGUGGCGGUCUCAGUUGGCGCAGCUGGGAUCAAGAUAUAAUCGGCCCUCUAUCUUAGUUAUAGAGGUGAUGUGUUCCGUAGGUGAACCUGCGGAAGGAUCAUUA
rnacentral:rRNA from 1 species